rnacentral:rRNA from 1 species
UACGAAGGGGGCUAGCGUUGCUCGGAAUCACUGGGCGUAAAGCGCACGUAGGCGGGUUGCCAAGUCGGGGGUGAAAUCCUGGAGCUCAACUCCAGAACUGCCUUCGAUACUGGCAAUCUCGAGUCCGGAAGAGGUAAGUGGAACUCCUAGUGUAGAGGUGGAAUUCGUAGAUAUUAGGAAGAACACCAGUGGCGAAGGCGGCUUACUGGUCCGGUACUGACGCUGAGGUGCGAAAGCGUGGGGAGCAAACAGG